UUCAGCUUUUGUCUUUGCAUGGAUAAAGCUCUUGCACCAAUUCUUUAAAGAAUGCUCUUGAAAUCCAUCUAUGUAUAAUCCAUCUACGUGCUGGUUUGGCUAGCAGUGCUAGGACUUACCCUCCCUCCUCUGUCUGCUUGUGAACGUAUGCCAGUAUGUCUGCAGCUCUGCCUGUUCCUUCACAUACCACCACUGGCACAGGAGGACUUUCAUGAAGGAAGUCUAAAACUAACUAUGCCACCGAAAGAGAACUGAAAAAAAAACCAUCAGCCCACAGUGUAGACAGCAAAGACAUCACUAGGACUGGUAAGAAGAAACAAAGACAACAGGAGAACAUUGAUUAGAGAUUUCUACAAUGUAAAAUAAAUUCAAGAAAAAAAUAAAUCCAAUCAAGACACAUAGAAUGGCAAGGCCCAGACAAAAAACAGUGAAGGUUCAGUAAAUAUAUAUUUUUCAACCCACUGCAAUUUCAAGAUCAGUUUAAGAUAACGCAGACAAAUGUUUGAAACAGGACUGUACCAGCUAGUUCAGCCCAUGGAAAAUUGCUCUUCAACUGCCCGCCCUCUUGCAAAACCUUUCCUAAACUCAGCAGAGCUUUCCCACAUUGCUCAUCAUGACUGACCUCCAACAUUUUGUUUAACUCAGACUACAGAUCUGUCAAGGCAGCAACAAACUGCUGCUCCAGCUUCUGACCUCACGCCAGGAUGGGCACCAAGUCCUUUGCAAGAGGACUGGAAGCUGCAAGGGAACUGGCGCUUCCCAGGAGACGAAGGAGAAGGGCAGGGGAACAGUAGAGGUACAUCCCUGGGAAAGAAUCGUGGAAGACAGAAGACUUGCACACAAGGGCUCAGUACAGCUUUAGUUCUUCUCUAAUUUUCAUCAGAUCAUUAGCAGUGAUACAAAAAUAAAUUUGAUAUAUACGUAGGCAUACAUUUAUAUAAACAUAUUCAUAUUAUAUGGAAAACAUGUACAUUAGGUAGCUUAUGGGUUUUUAGCUUACUUCUCAAUCUGUAUUUUUGAACGCUAUCAAGCUCCCAUCUUGGUCUUUGUGACACGAAUAACAGUUCUGAAGGCUACUUUCUGCUUGGCCAAGUGUCCCCACUAUUUACAUGAGUAUUUCUGUACUUUGUUUCUUAAAACUGAGGUCUUCGUAUGGAUCAUUAUUUUAACACUGCAAUAGUUAAAGCUUGCAUAUGAAGUCAGCACAUACAAAGACAGAGAAGAGUAAUUUAAUACGGAAAUGUGUUAGUCAGCUGGCUAAAACCAUACCUUGAAGCAAGCUUUCACAACCAUAACACACCAGCUAUUGAAAUCGGAAGUACAGAAAUCACGUGUAAUUACCUCAAUCGCUCCAAAGCAAUAUUGUUUAUUGUUAAUAAGAAGACAUCAAAGCUGGGGACAAGGAACACAUUCAUGACACAACAGCAAUUCUCAUAAUAAGCGGAUGUGAAAAUUUAAAGUAAAAUACUGAUUAGAUUUGGGUUUUUUUUCCAUAAAGUACAGUUCCAAUCACUCUACAAGGAUUUCUGUUUAUUCUUCAGCAGUGAAAGAAUUCACAGCAGCACAUGGAUACACCUGUACUACUGCCAUAAAGGAGGAUCUACAACGUUAUUAAAACAAACGGACCUUCAGUAGCACUCCUACGCUCUAAUGAAUAUUUAUCACAAGAGAUUUUAUAAAGAACCUGCUGAUUUCAGUCUUGUUUACAGUCAAGGAAAAAGGCAGGGGGAGGAAAGGAACAAAAAGAACAGAAAGCGAGACAUUUCCCAUAGCCGGGUAAGGAUCGUGUUAAAAAACAUAGGGAGAAGUGACACAUAGUAUUACACUCCCUGUAAACGAGAACUAUUACAUAACGUUGCUGAGAUGGCCAGAUGACGAAGGAAGAUGAUGUGAGGACACUGAAGUUAAGGAAGUAUUGCUUAGAGGUAAUGACUGCCACUAAUUCGUCAGCUAAAGAUUAAGUUAAAACAAGAGACUGGGUUUAUAUUUAUAUAUAUAUGUGUGUGUGUGUACAUACACACACACACACAAUACAUAUAUAUGUAUAUAUCAUUACAAACAUUAUCAAUCUACUAUAAAGAAUUUUUUAUUCUUACAAAAAAAAAAAAAAAAAGCUUACCAGCCUCCCCUUCAUUAAGUGCUUUGUUCCUUACCCAAAGCACUACAGCAAGACAACAGCUAAAUAGUGGCAGAGCUACUGUAACACCUCACCAAGCUAUUCUGAAAUUCUCCUUGUUCAUCUCAAGUUUAAACAUCUCAGUUUAAACUUAUCCCAAAUACUUAACGCUGGAAUAUUGCACACCGACCCGACAGCUCUUCUGACAACCUUUUUCUAUUGAAUUAAACAGCUGAAUCAGGAAACUGAUCUGGAUUAAAAAUAAAUAAAUAAACAGAACAUUUCAGACCAUGACUUCUGUGGAAGGUUGGUAACACAGAUUUCAUAGACCUCAGUUUCAAAUUUAGAAGUGAUAUCAUCUUCUAUGGCAUCUCAUAUUCCAGCUUUCAAAUCUUUGCUUAUACCAUACUGUAGUUCAAUACAGGCAAUAGUUUUUAAAGGAAAAGAUCUCCCAAUCUUAUUUGUCUUUCAUUUAGAAAUAAGGGGGCUGUAUAUUCUUUCCCCAUUGCCUUGAGUUUUCCUAAUAGCCAAAGUUUCCAUCUGGGCAGAGAACAACCACGGUUAGUUUCAGCAAGCCUGAAAACAGGCAGAUACAACAGAAACCACGGCAGGAAAACGCACACUAUAGCACUGCCACCAAGCAGCCCCAUCUGCCUACGUCUCAACCAACCAACAAGAUAAAACAUUUGUAGAAAGACUUUCUGUACUCAAGAACGUCCUUUAGCUUGUCUAUUCAAGGAACUGUCUGCUAAUAAGUUACUACUUCUUAUGUAACCAUACACACACUUAUCUAAGAAACUCACUCCAUUGGUCAAACAUGUGCUGUAUCAUGGGACUGAACUGUGAUCUCUGCUCAGCUAACACACAGCUGAGCACCAGGCUCCUGCAGAUACAGCCGAAAGGCAAAAUUCCAGACCAACUGAUAUCUUACUGCUUCUGUAAUCAUGUUGAAUAAAACCAAAUAAAUCCAAGCUAGGACAAAUAUGGGAUCAAAUUAAGGUAAUGCUGAUCAAAUAGCUGGGAAUUCAUAAAACUCCUUAUGGCAAGAGGUGACAUAAAUAAGAUCUAUGCUGGAUCUCACUGCAAAUAUUUCCAGCAGCUUCAAGCAGACAGCAGGCAUGGCGCUAACCUUGUUCUCACUACCAUCUAACUGAGCAGUAUUGAGUCACCUGAGAGGUAGCUAUGCAUACAUAUACAUAUAACAAAGUUCUGUAUUGAAAAGUCCUGAGAGCACAGCCCAUUUCCUCAAGAAAACACCUAGAAACUUGCAGAAAGUCCUCAGGACUUCUUUAUUAACAUUAAAUACGUAAGCAGAUGGGAACAGAAAUGAAAAGGGUAGCAGAUGCAUGGCACCUAACUGCCUCAUGUUCAUUUUAAACUCUCAGCUCCAGCAAUCUUCAGACUUCCAACUCGCCUGCUUUCCUUGCAAUUUAAAAUUACAUACCUCUGUAAUUAUUGUUUGUUUGUUGGCUGCCUGUUUGUUAGUUUGGUUGUUUGUUUUUUUUCUUAAAGGAGAGAGGAAGGAAACAAAGCAUUUAGUCACACAGCAUUACAAACUGCAUUUAGAAGAUGGCUGAAGAGAAGUAGUGCUGCUUGUCCACAGAAUACACAACACACACAAAACAGCCACAAAAUUUGCUCUUGAAUCAAUUAAGAUACCAGUGAGCCUGAACAAGUUAUAAGUAACGUCUGUUGUAACCUGUUGUAAAAUC